UUGGAGGGCAAGUCUGGUGCCAGCAGCCGCGGUAAUUCCAGCUCCAAUAGCGUAUAUUAAAGUUGCUGCAGUUAAAAAGCUCGUAGUUGAAUUUCGGGACCAUCAUGUCGGUCGUGCCUCGGUACGUACUGGUAUUGUUGGUUUCUCCCUUCUGACGAACCAUGAUGUCAUUUAUUUGGUGUUGUGGGGAAUCAGGACUGUUACUUUGAAAAAAUUAGAGUGUUUAAAGCAGGCUCACGCUUGAAUACAUUAGCAUGGAAUAAUGACAUAGGACGUUUGAUUCUAUUUUGUUGGUUUCUAGGAUCGACGUAAUGAUUAAUAGGGAUAGUUGGGGGCAUUAGUAUUCAAUUGUCAGAGGUGAAAUUCUUGGAUUUAUUGAAGACUAACUACUGCGAAAGCAUUUGCCAAGGAUGUUUUCAUUAAUCAAGAACGAAAGUUAGGGGAUCGAAGACGACCAGAUACCGUCGUAGUCUUAACCAUAAACUAUGCCGACUAGGGAUCGGAUGAUGUUAAUUUUUUAAUGACUCAUUCGGCGCCUUACGGGAAAC
rnacentral:rRNA from 1 species